UACGUAGGGUGCAAGCGUUAUCCGGAAUUAUUGGGCGUAAAGAGCUCGUAGGCGGUUUGUCGCGUCUGCUGUGAAAACUGGGGCUCAACCCCAGCCUGCAGUGGGUACGGGCAGACUAGAGUGCGGUAGGGGAGAUUGGAAUUCCUGGUGUAGCGGUGGAAUGCGCAGAUAUCAGGAGGAACACCGAUGGCGAAGGCAGAUCUCUGGGCCGUAACUGACGCUGAGGAGCGAAAGCAUGGGAGCGAACAGG
rnacentral:rRNA from 1 species